rnacentral:rRNA from 1 species
GACGAACGCUGGCGGCGUGCUUAACACAUGCAAGUCGAACGGAAAGGCCUUUUCGGAGGUACUCGAGUGGCGAACGGGUGAGUAACACGUGGGUGAUCUGCCCUGCACUCUGGGAUAAGCCUGGGAAACUGGGUCUAAUACCGGAUAGGACCGCACUUUAGUGUGUGUGGUGGAAAGUUUUUUCGGUGUAGGAUGAGCCCGCGGCCUAUCAGCUUGUUGGUGGGGUAAUGGCCUACCAAGGCGGCGACGGGUAGCCGGACUGAGAGGUUGGUCGGCCACAUUGGGACUGAGAUACGGCCCAGACUCCUACGGGGGGCAGCAGUGGGGAAUAUUGCACAAUGGGCGCAAGCCUGAUGCAGCGACGCCGCGGGGGGGAGGACGGCCUUAGGGUUGUAAACGCCUUUCGCCAGGGACGAAGCGUUUUGUGACGGUACCUGGAGAAGAAGCACCGGCUAACUACGUG